GACGAACCGUGCGAACGUUGUUCGGAUUCACUGGGCUUAAAGGGCGCGUAGGCGGCUCGCCAAGUCAGGGGUGAAAUCGUUCGGCCCAACCGGACAAGUGCCCCUGAUACUGGCGGGCUCGAGGGAGGUAGGGGCAUGCGGAACUUCCGGUGGAGCGGUGAAAUGCGUAGAUAUCGGAAGGAACGCCGGUGGCGAAAGCGGCGUGCUGGACCUCGCCUGACGCUGAUGCGCGAAAGCCAGGGGAGCAAACGGG
rnacentral:rRNA from 1 species